rnacentral:rRNA from 1 species
ACGGCCGCAAGGUUAAAACUCAAAUGAAUUGACGGGGGCCCGCACAAGCGGUGGAGCAUGUGGUUUAAUUCGAUGCAACGCGAAGAACCUUACCUGGUCUUGACAUCCACGGAAGUUUUCAGAGAUGAGAAUGUGCCUUCGGGAACCGUGAGACAGGUGCUGCAUGGCUGUCGUCAGCUCGUGUUGUGAAAUGUUGGGUUAAGUCCCGCAACGAGCGCAACCCUUAUCCUUUGUUGCCAGCGGUCCGGCCGGGAACUCAAAGGAGACUGCCAGUGAUAAACUGGAGGAAGGUGGGGAUGACGUCAAGUCAUCAUGGCCCUUACGACCAGGGCUACACACGUGCUACAAUGGCGCAUACAAAGAGAAGCGACCUCGCGAGAGCAAGCGGACCUCAUAAAGUGCGUCGUAGUCCGGAUUGGAGUCUGCAACUCGACUCCAUGAAGUCGGAAUCGCUAGUAAUCGUGGAUCAGAAUGCCACGGUGAAUACGUUCCCGGGCCUUGUACACACCGCCCGUCACACCAUGGGAGUGGGUUGCAAAAGAAGUAGGUAGCUUAACCUU